AUUGAACGCUGGCGGCAGGCUUAACACAUGCAAGUCGAGCGGGGUGAUGUAGCUUGCUACAUUACCUAGCGGCGGACGGGUGAGUAAUGCUUAGGAAUCUGCCUAUUAGUGGGGGACAACAUUCCGAAAGGAAUGCUAAUACCGCAUACGCCCUACGGGGGAAAGCAGGGGAUCUUCGGACCUUGCGCUAAUAGAUGAGCCUAAGUCGGAUUAGCUAGUUGGUGGGGUAAAGGCCUACCAAGGCGACGAUCUGUAGCGGGUCUGAGAGGAUGAUCCGCCACACUGGGACUGAGACACGGCCCAGACUCCUACGGGAGGCAGCAGUGGGGAAUAUUGGACAAUGGGGGGAACCCUGAUCCAGCCAUGCCGCGUGUGUGAAGAAGGCCUUUUGGUUGUAAAGCACUUUAAGCGAGGAGGAGGCUACCGAGAUUAAUACUCUUGGAUAGUGGACGUUACUCGCAGAAUAAGCACCGGCUAACUCUGUGCCAGCCGCCGCCGUAACAC
rnacentral:rRNA from 1 species